rnacentral:rRNA from 1 species
CGCGAAGAACCUUACCUGGUCUUGGCAUCCACAGAACAUUCCAGAGAUGGGAUGGUGCCUUCGGGAACUGUGAGACAGGUGCUGCAUGGCUGUCGUCAGCUCGUGUUGUGAAAUGUUGGGUUAAGUCCCGCAACGAGCGCAACCCUUAUCCUUUGUUGCCAGCGGUCCGGCCGGGAACUCAAAGGAGACUGCCAGUGAUAAACUGGAGGAAGGUGGGGAUGACGUCAAGUCAUCAUGGCCCUUACGACCAGGGCUACACACAUGCUACAAUGGCGCAUACAAAGAGAAGCGACCUCGCGAGAGCAAGCGGACCUCAUAAAGUGCGUCGUAGUCCGGAUUGGAGUCUGCAACUCGACUCCAUGAAGUCGGAAUCGCUAGUAAUCGUGGAUCAGAAUGCCACGGUGAAUACGUUCCCGGGUCUUGUACACACC